rfam:Ailuropoda melanoleuca scaffold1916_41, whole genome shotgun sequence.
ACCUGGCCGGCUCAUUCAGUGGGGCAUGUGACUCUUGAUCUCAGGGUUGUGGGUUCGAGCCCCACGUUGGGUA